UGCCCAAGUUGUCAACAAGCAUGGAACAACUUAUAACAGUUGAAAUUAUAAGACUUCUUGCAAGGUUGUUCCAACAAGUCUGAUACAUGCAGUCAUGAAAUAACAAUAUUGUUACAAGUUUGUGUCGUCAACCUUGUAACAUUCUUGUUAUAUCAUGACUGUAUCAGACUUGUUAGAACAACCUUGUAACAAAUCUUAUAAAAUUUCAACUGUUAUAAGCUGUUCCAUGCUUGUUGACAACUUGGGUC